AUGCUGCUGUUACUCGUCCUGGCGCCGUUGCUUCAACGUGCGACGUCGCAGUCCGUUCGCCAGGACACGCCGGCUCUCUCCAAAUCUCUCGGCGAGAGCGUGGAACUGAAAUGCAUCCUGGACGGCGGUAGCGCUAGCAAUUAUCUCUACUGGUACAGACAAUAUCCGGGUAGGGAGAUUCAGUACAUGUUUCAUUCCACGUUUACCAAAGUCGUAAUUCCGGAGGGGGCUGUGGACGGCUUCACUGCCCGGAGACCCGAUUCAAACACGUUCAUUCUCACCUCCACCAGCCUGCGCCGGGACCAGUCGGCCGUCUACUACUGCGCCUGGAGUCCUCACAGUGGCUCAGAGACACCACGGAGCCCGACAAAAACCUUCGCAGGCGACAGGAAGCAGGUGAUGUGUGAGAACCAUUGA